rnacentral:rRNA from 1 species
UCGAACGGCAGCGCGGGAGCAAUCCUGGCGGCGAGUGGCGAACGGGUGAGUAAUACAUCGGAACGUGCCCAAUCGUGGGGGAUAACGCAGCGAAAGCUGUGCUAAUACCGCAUACGAUCUACGGAUGAAAGCAGGGGAUCGCAAGACCUUGCGCGAAUGGAGCGGCCGAUGGCAGAUUAGGUAGUUGGUGAGGUAAAGGCUCACCAAGCCUUCGAUCUGUAGCUGGUCUGAGAGGACGACCAGCCACACUGGGACUGAGACACGGCCCAGACUCCUACGGGAGGCAGCAGUGGGGAAUUUUGGACAAUGGGCGAAAGCCUGAUCCAGCCAUGCCGCGUGCAGGAUGAAGGCCUUCGGGUUGUAAACUGCUUUUGUACGGAACGAAGCGGCCUUUUCUAAUAAAGAGGGCUAAUGACGGUACCGUAAGAAUAAGCACCGGCUAACUACGUGCCAGCAGCCGCGGUAAUACGUAGGGUGCAAGCGUUAAUCGGAAUUACUGGGCGUAAAGCGUGCGCAGGCGGUUAUGUAAGACAGUUGUGAAAUCCCCGGGCUCAACCUGGGAACUGCAUCUGUGACUGCAUAGCUAGAGUACGGUAGAGGGGGAUGGAAUUCCGCGUGUAGCAGUGAAAUGCGUAGAUAUGCGGAGGAACACCGAUGGCGA